UAAAACACCGGUUCUCUUCAGAUCACCGACGUUAAGCAAUGCUGAGCUGGAUCAGUACUCAGAUGGGUGACCGCUGGGGAAUACCAGGUACU